rnacentral:lncRNA from 1 species
UGAGAAGCUAGGAUUACAGGCAUGUACCAACAUGCCUAGCUUUAGUUCAUGUUCUUGAAUUCAGGUUCAAAAUUUGAAUUUUUGCUGGGUACAGUGGUGCACACUUAUAGCCUCAGCAACUUCGUGAGGCCCUUACCAACCUAGUGAAAUUCUGUCUCAAAAUAAAAAAUAAUAAGGGAUAGGGUUGUGGCUCAGUGGUUAAGUGCCCCUUAGCUAAUCCCUGGCACAAUAAAUAAAUAAAUAAAUAAUUCUUGCCUGCCAAACCUAGAAAACUUCAUUUUUCCUUUAUGGGAAAAUGAGUGAAAGGCACAGAUUUAUUAUGAAGAUAGUUUUAACUGGAAUCCUGAAGAGCCUUAGGUUUCCAAAGGUGCACUGCUGGUGAAAGAAAUCAUAUUUACCCCAAAGGUAUGUGGAGUUGCUUGAGGUAAACAGUGUGAUCAAACAGGCAGUGAGCUGUCUUCAGGUAAAGGUAAACCUGCCCUGGUUACCAGUUUCAGCUCCAUCUCAUCAUCCCCAACACCCUUUACUCUGGCUGUGCCAAGUACACCAUGCUGUCUUCAUUCAUGAGUGAAGACUGAGCCCCUACUUUUCCAGUAUUUUACUGUCCACAGUGUCCCUUAAAGUUCCCUGUAAAGCUUUGCUGUCCUUACCAGGCAGAGUUAGGGGCAUCGUUAUCUGUACUUCAGAGUUCUUAGAACAUAAUAUUUAUUUAGGUAAUUUUUGCCUUGCUGUCAUUUGCUUUCUGACUGAAAUCCUCAAGAGCACUGUGAUCUACACAGUGGUAAAAAUAUGCAUUCUAAUCAUCUGUACCCCAUUGAAUGAUAUUGUACUCUAAACACUAAGUAAGUAUGUGAAUGGAGAUUCCCAUGAUUGACAGAAUCCAUCAGUACCUAAUGAUACUCAUGUUAGCAUUGGGCGAACUGCUGGGCAAAAGGGGUGCUUCUGAUAAAAUCCUGUAGUUAAAAGACAAUAGGGAGAGGAGUGACUGUCUGUUACAGGGUAGUUUUUGACAGGCUUGUGGGUAUCUUCCCUUGGAGAGGAGGGCACUUACCAUCAAAGAUCUUAUCCUAUAGCAUUAACUUUUUCAUCCUCUUUCACAGGUGGCUGAAUUAUGAAAAACUAGAAAAUUACGUUUUUGUUGUUGUUAUUUGUUUUGUUUUGUUUCUUGCUCUUAGUUUGGUCGUUCUAAAUAGCUGGCAGUGCUUUUCUAAUGGAAGGCAGUAAAGUGUAAUGGUUUUUAAGCCCUACACACCAUAUUUUAAAUACCUGCCCCACUUAAAUCGUUGUGGGGCUUUACACAAGUCAAUCAGACUCUCCAAUUUUGUUUCUUCAGCUAUAAAAUAUAGCUAGUAGCCUUUCUGUACCAUCCCACAAGGUCCAACUUAACUCUUUCUCUUUAUUAAAAAAAAAAAGAAAAAAGUAGUUGAGAGGUACUCAAGGAUUAAGCACAGUGUGAUAGCCAAGAAUAUAUCUACAGUCAAGAAGUUCCAAAUUGUUUUGAGUCCUUCUUAACUGUUCCUUGACUUUCUGCUUUUGUGUUUUGGGUAACUGUAGUGUAUUGGCUUUAGACUAGAGUUCAUUUAAAAUUAAUAUUUGAAAGCUGGUAUAUGCCUGGGAGGC